AUUGAACGCUGGCGGAAUGCUUUACACAUGCAAGUCGAACGGCAGCACGGACUUCGGUCUGGUGGCGAGUGGCGAACGGGUAAGUAAUGUAUCGGAACGUGCCCAGUCGUGGGGGAUAACGUAGUGAAAAUUACGCUAAUACCGCAUACGAUCUAUGGAUGAAAGCGGGGGAUCGCAAGACCUCGCGCGAUUGGAGCGGCCGAUAUCAGAUUAGGUAGUUGGUGGGGUAAAGGCCCACCAAGCCAACGAUCUGUAGCUGGUCUGAGAGGACGACCAGCCACACUGGAACUGAGACACGGUCCAGACUCCUACGGGAGGUAGCAGUGGGGAAUUUUGGACAAUGGGCGAAAGCCUGAUCCAGCCAUUCCGCGUGCAGGAUGAAGGCCCUCGGGUUGUAAACUGCUUUUGUACAGAACGAAAAGGUUUCUACUAAUACUAGGAGCUCAUGACGGUACUGUAAGAAUAAGCACCGGCUAACUACGUGCCAGCAGCCGCGGUAA
rnacentral:rRNA from 1 species